AUUGAACGCUGGCGGCAGGCUUAACACAUGCAAGUCGAGCGGUAACAGAGAGAAGCUUGCUUCUCUGCUGACGAGCGGCGGACGGGUGAGUAAUGCCUAGGAAUCUGCCUAGUAGUGGGGGAUAACUUGCCGAAAGGUAAGCUAAUACCGCAUACGUCCUACGGGAGAAAGGAGGGGACCUUCGGGCCUUUCGCUAUUAGAUGAGCCUAGGUCGGAUUAGUUAGUUGGUGAGGUAAUGGCUCACCAAGACCGCGACCCGUAACUGGUCUGCGAGGAUGAUCAGUCACACUGGAACUGAGACACGGUCCAGACUCCCACGGGAGGCAGCAGUGGGGAAUAUUGGACAAUGGGGGGAACCCUGAUCCAGCCAUGCCGCGUGUGUGAAGGAGGUCUUAGGAUUGUAAAGCACUUUAAGUUGGGAGGAAGAGCAGUUAACUAAUAUUUGACUGUUUUGACGUUACCGACAGAAUAAGCACCGGCUAACUUCGUGCCAGCCGCCGCAGUAA
rnacentral:rRNA from 1 species